rnacentral:rRNA from 1 species
UACGUAGGGGGCAAGCGUUGUCCGGAAUCAUUGGGCGUAAAGAGCGUGUAGGCGGUCCGGUAAGUCGGCUGUGAAAGUCCAGGGCUCAACCCUGGGAUGCCGGUCGAUACUGCCGGACUAGAGUUCGGAAGAGGCGAGUGGAAUUCCCGGUGUAGCGGUGAAAUGCGCAGAUAUCGGGAGGAACACCUAUGGCGAAGGCAGCUCGCUGGGACGUUACUGACGCUAAGGCGCGAAAGCGUGGGGAGCGAACAGG